rnacentral:rRNA from 1 species
AGAGUUUGAUCCUGGCUCAGGAUAAACGCUAGCGGCAGGCCUAACACAUGCAAGUCGAGGGGUAACAGGAGAGCUUGCUCUCGCUGACGACCGGCGCACGGGUGAGUAACGCGUAUGCAACCUACCCUUUACAGGAGGAUAGCCCGGUGAAAACCGGAUUAAUACUCCAUAGUCUUAUAGAUUGGCAUCAUGAAAUAAGUAAAUCUUCGGAGGUAAAGGAUGGGCAUGCGUGACAUUAGAUAGUUGGUGAGGUAAUAGCUCACCAAGUCUACGAUGUCUAUGGGGUCUUAAAGGAUGGUCCCACACACUGGUACUGAGACACGGACCAGACUCCUACGGGAGGCAGCAGUGAGGAAUAUUGGUCAAUGGGCAAAGCCUGAACCAGCCAUGCCGCGUGCAGGAUUACGGCUCUAGUAGUUGUAAACUGCUUUUAUACGGGAAGAAUGCUCGUGAUUUCACGGGAGAGACUGUACCGUACGAAUAAGGAUCGGCUAACUCCGUGCCAGCAGCCGCGGUAAUACGGAGGAUCCAAGCGUUAUCCGGAUUUAUUAGGUUUAAAGGGUACGCAGGCGGGAAUUUAAGUCAGUGGUGAAAUCUUGCAGCUUAACUGUAAAAUAGCCAUUGAUACUGGAUUUCUUGAGUAUAGACGAAGUGGGCGGAAUAUAACAUGUAGCGGUGAAAUGCUUAGAUAUGUUAUAGAACACCAAUUGCGAAGGCAGCUCACUAGACUAUUACUGACGCUGAUGUACGAAAGCGUGGGUAGCGAACAGGAUUAGAUACCCUGGUAGUCCACGCCGUAAACGAUGAUUACUGGUUGUAUGCGAUACAUUGUAUGCGACUUUAGCGAAAGCAUUAAGUAAUCCACCUGGGGAGUACGUUCGCAAGAAUGAAACUCAAAGGAAUUGACGGGGGCCCGCACAAGCGGAGGAACAUGUGGUUUAAUUCGAUGAUACGCGAGGAACCUUACCUGGGCUCAAACGCAAGCGCCGGAUUGGGAGACCAAUCUUUCUGGCAACAGACGCGAAGCGAGGUGCUGCAUGGCUGUCGUCAGCUCGUGCCGUGAGGUGUCGGGUUAAGUCCCAUAACGAGCGCAACCCCUAUCAUUAGUUACCAGCGAGUAGAGUCGGGGACUCUAAUGAGACUGCCACCGUAAGGUGAGAGGAAGGCGGGGAUGACGUCAAGUCAGCACGGCCCUUACGUCCAGGGCUACACACGUGUUACAAUGGCCGGUACAAAGGGCAGCUACACAGCGAUGUGAUGCUAAUCUCUAAAGCCGGUCUCAGUUCGGAUCGGAGUCUGUAACUCGACUCCGUGAAGUUGGAUUCGCUAGUAAUCGUGUAUCAGCAACGACACGGUGAAUACGUUCCCGGGCCUUGUACACACCGCCCGUCAAGCCAUGGAAGCCGGGGGUACCUGAAGUCUGUCACCUUAGGGAGCGGCCUAGGGUAAAACUGGUAACUGGGGCUAAGUCGG